UACGUAGGGGGCUAGCGUUGUCCGGAAUCAUUGGGCGUAAAGAGCGUGUAGGCGGCCCGGUAAGUCCGCUGUAAAAGUCAAAGGCUCAACCUUUGAAUGUCAGUGGAUACUGCCGGGCUAGAGUCCGGAAGAGGCGAGUGGAACUCUUGGUGUAGCGGUGGAAUGCGCAGAUAUCAGGAAGAACACCAACGGCGAAGGCAGCUCGCUGGGACGGUACUGACGCUGAGACGCGAAAGCGUGGGGAGCAAACAGG
rnacentral:rRNA from 1 species